CGACGGGUGAGUAACGCGUAUGCAACUUGCCUAUCAGGAGGGGAUAACCCGGCGAAAGUCGGACUAAUACCGCAUGAAGCAGGGGCCCCGCAUGGGGAUAUUUGCUAAAGAUUCAUCGCUGAUAGAUAGGCAUGCGUUCCAUUAGGCAGUUGGCGGGGUAACGGCCCACCAAGCCUUCGAUGGAUAGGGGUUCUGAGAGGAAGGUCCCCCACAUUGGAACUGAGACACGGUCCAA
rnacentral:rRNA from 1 species